rnacentral:lncRNA from 1 species
AUCUUCGUCUGGUACACAAAGCUUUCAGCUCAUCAAUAAAGCGGCUCCCGAUUCUUCUACUAAUAUUUAAGAGAGAGAUGACGUCCGACAUGGAAAUGAAUUCCUGCUCAGAUUGGAUCUGCGGCGAUGCCACGCCAUCUCGCUUUCAUCUCGGGGCGACCAGUUGACCGAUCUGAUAAGAGUGGAAUUCUUCUUCUCCAUCUCCUCGUUCAGCAUCCCGUUCACUGUAUGAACA